rnacentral:rRNA from 1 species
ACCGGCUUCCUUACGGGGGAGGAGCAGUGGGGAAUAUUGGGCAAUGGGGGCAACCCUGACCCAGCAACGCCGUGUGAGGGAAGAAGGUUUUCGGAUCGUAAACCUCUGUCAGGAGGGAAGAACGGGCUGUAGUCGAACAGGCUAUGGUUUUGACGGUACCUCCAGAGGAAGCACCGGCUAACUCCGUGCCAGCAGCCGCGGUAAUACGGAGGGUGCGAGCGUUAUUCGGAAUUACUGGGCGUAAAGCGCGCGUAGGCGGCACGGCAAGUCAGAUGUGAAAGCCCCGGGCUCAACCUGGGAAUUGCAUUUGAAACUGCCGAGCUGGAGUAAGGUAGAGGGUGGCGGAAUUCCCGGUGUAGGGGUGAAAUCCGUAGAUAUCGGGAGGAACACCAGUGGCGAAGGCGGCCACCUGGGCCUUUACUGACGCUGAGGUGCGAAAGCGUGGGUAGCAAACAGGAUUAGAUACCCUGGUAGUCCACGCUGUAAACGAUGGAUACUAGGUGCUGGGUUUUAAAUUCGGUGCCGUAGCUAACGCGUUAAGUUCCCGCCUGGGAGUCGUCCACCU